rnacentral:rRNA from 1 species
AUUAGAUAAAAAACCAAUGCCCUUCGGGGCUCCUUGGUGAUUCAUAAUAACUUAUCGAAUCGCAUGGCCUUGCGCUGGCGAUGGUUCAUUCAAAUUUCUGCCCUAUCAACUUUCGAUGGUAGGAUAGUGGCCUACCAUGGUGGCAACGGGUAACGGGGAAUUAGGGUUCGAUUCCGGAGAGGGAGCCUGAGAAACGGCUACCACAUCUAAGGAAGGCAGCAGGCGCGCAAAUUACCCAAUCCCGAUACGGGGAGGUAGUGACAAUAAAUACUGAUACAGGGCUCUUUCGGGUCUUGUAAUUGGAAUGAGUACAAUUUAAACACCUUAACGAGGAGCAAUUGGAGGGCAAGUCUGGUGCCAGCAGCCGCGGUAAUUCCAGCUCCAAUAGCGUAUAUUAAAGUUGUUGCAGUUAAAAAGCUCGUAGUUGAACCUUGGGUCUGGCUGGCCGGUCCGCCUCACCGCGUGCACUGGUCCGGCUGGAUCUUUCCUUCUGGGGAGCCCCAUGGCCUUUAUUGGC